GUGGGGAAUAUUGCACAAUGGAGGAAACUCUGAUGCAGCGACGCCGCGUGAGUGAUGAAGGCCUUCGGGUCGUAAAGCUCUGUCGCAGGGGAAUAACACAAUGAAGGUACCCUGUAAGAAAGGAUCGGCUAACUUCGUGCCAGCAGCCGCGGUAAGACGAGGGAUCCUAGCGUUGUUCGGAAUCAUUGGGCGUAAAGCGGAUGUAGGUGGCUAUGUAAGUCAGAUGUGAAAGCCUGGGGCUCAACCCCAGAAGUGCAUUUGAUACUGCGUAGCUUGAGUGUCGGAGAGGUUACUAGAAUUGUUGGUGUAGUGGUGAAAUACGUAGAUAUCAACAGGAAUACCGGAGGCGAAGGCGGGUAACUGGCCGAACACUGACACUGAGAUCCGAAAGCGUGGGGAUCAAACAGGAUUAGAAACCCGAGUAGUCC
rnacentral:rRNA from 1 species